AUACGGAGGGGGCUAGCGUUGUUCGGAAUUACUGGGCGUAAAGCGUACGUAGGCGGACUGAUCAGUUGGGGGUGAAAUCCCAGGGCUUAACCCUGGAACUGCCUUCAAUACUGUCAGUCUUGAGUCCGGAAGAGGUGAGUGGAAUUCCUGGUGUAGAGGUGAAAUUCAUAGAUAUCAGGAGGAACACCAGUGGCGAAGGCGGCUCACUGGUCCGGUACUGACGCUGAGGUACGAAAGCGUGGGGAGCAAACAGGAUUAGAAACCCUUGUAGUCC
rnacentral:rRNA from 1 species